rnacentral:rRNA from 1 species
UACGUAGGGGGCGAGCGUUGUCCGGAUUUAUUGGGCGUAAAGAGCUCGUAGGCGGUUUGGCAAGUCGGGUGUGAAAACUCCGGGCUCAACUCGGAGACGCCACUCGAUACUGCUAUGACUCGAGUCCGGUAGGGGAGUGCGGAAUUCCUGGUGUAGCGGUGAAAUGCGCAGAUAUCAGGAGGAACACCGGUGGCGAAGGCGGGUCUCUGGGCCGUAACUGACGCUGAGGAGCGAAAGCAUGGGGAGCGAACAGG